rnacentral:lncRNA from 1 species
GUAUUUACAGUCAGCUGCCAUUUGUAGCAAUAUUUUUCCAGUUUAUUCAAAGCAGAUUGUAAACCGUUUUGUGAUUCUGAUAAUAUUAAAAGAUCAUCAGCAAAACUAAGACUACUUAUUGAUGUUUUAUCUAAGGACACAGGAUCACAUGUCCCAUCAAAAAUUGAAUGGAGAUCAUUAAUAAAACAAUUAAACAAUGUGGGGCUCAAACUGUCCCCUUGUUUGACCCCUUUAUCUAUUUCAAAAAAUUCAGAUUGUUUAUUAUCUAUUUUAACUGAAGAUUCACAACACUUAUACAUAUCUUUAAUUACUUCAAAUAUUUUCUUUCCAACAUCAUCCUUCUUUAAUUUGUAUAAGAGACCAGCAUGCCAAACAGUGUCAAAAGCACGACGCAAAUCAACAAAGCAAGAGUAAAUUUUACUCUUCUUUUUUGUCAAAUAUUU